rnacentral:rRNA from 1 species
UACAGAGGGUGCGAGCGUUAAUCGGAAUUACUGGGCGUAAAGCGCGCGUAGGCGGUUUUGUAAGUCGGGUGUGAAAGCCCCGGGCUCAACCUGGGAACUGCAUUCGAGACUGCAUUACUGGAGUAUGGGAGAGGGCAGUGGAAUUUCCGGUGUAGCGGUGAAAUGCGUAGAUAUCGGAAGGAACAUCAGUGGCGAAAGCGACUGCCUGGCCCAAUACUGACGCUCAUGUGCGAAAGCGUGGGGAGCAAACAGGAUUAGAAACCCCCGUAGUCC